rnacentral:tRNA from 1 species
AGUCGGGGGCGCUGUGGCUGGCGGUCGGCGCGCUGAACCCGCGCUGCCAGAGGCUGCUGCGGGUCGUCGCGUUCGACGAGAGACCCGACUAC